UACGAAGGGGGCUAGCGUUGUCCGGAAUCAUUGGGCGUAAAGCGCGUGUAGGCGGCCCGAUAAGUCCGCUGUGAAAGUCCAGGGCUCAACCCUGGGAUGCCGGUGGAUACUGUCGGGCUCGAGUCCGGAAGAGGCGAGUGGAAUUCCUGGUGUAGCGGUGAAAUGCGCAGAUAUCAGGAGGAACACCAAUGGCGAAGGCAGCUCGCUGGGACGUGACUGACGCUGAGACGCGAAAGCGUGGGGAGCAAACAGG
rnacentral:rRNA from 1 species